UACAGAGGGUGCGAGCGUUAAUCGGAAUUACUGGGCGUAAAGCGUGCGUAGACGGUUACGUAAGUCAGAUGUGAAAGCCCCGGGCUCAACCUGGGAAUUGCAUUUGAGACUGCGUAGCUAGGGUGCGGAAGAGGGAAGCGGAAUUUCCGGUGUAGCGGUGAAAUGCGUAGAUAAUCGGAAGGAACACCAGUGGCGAAAGCGGCUUCCUGGUCCAGCACCGACGUUCAGGCACGAAAGCGUGGGGAGCGAACGGGA
rnacentral:rRNA from 1 species